AUACUUACCUGGCAGGGGAAAUACCAUGAUCACGAAGGUGGUUUUCCCAGGGCGAGGCUGGGAAACACAGCACUCGGGAUGUGCUGACCCCUGCGAUUUCCCCAAAUGUGGGAAACUCAACUGCACAAUUUGUCGUAGUGGGGGACUUCGUUCGCGCUCUCCCCUG